GUAGGUGAACCUGCGGAAGGAUCAUUAAUAGUUUAGGGUACUGACCCAGUGCCCAAACUUCAACCCUUUGACUUAAUUAAUUUGUUUCUUUGCCGGUUUCGGCUGGCAGAAGUUUUCUCAAACUCAUUAGAAACUUGUCUUCUGAAAUUUUAAAUAAUAAUAAUUAAAACUUUCAACAACGGAUCUCUUGGUUCUG
rnacentral:misc_RNA from 1 species